rnacentral:rRNA from 1 species
GACGAACGCUGGCGGCGUGCUUAACACAUGCAAGUCGAACGGUGAAGCGCCUUCCUUUUUGGUUGGUGUGGUUGAGAGGCGAACGGGUGAGUAACACGUGAGUAACCUGCCCCCUUCUUCUGGAUAACCGCAUGAAAGUGUGGCUAAUACAGGAUAUUCUGGUUCUGUCGCAUGAUGGGUCUGGGACAGAUAUUGUUUCGGUGGUCGAUGGUCUGGCGGCUUAUCAGCUUGUUGGUGGGGUGAUGGCCUACCAAGGCGGUGCGGGGUAGGCGGCCUGGGAGGGUGGCCGGCCAGAGUGGGUGUGAGACACGACUGGGACUGAGAUGCGGGGCAGCAGUGGAGAGGAGGGAGCAGUGGGCGCAAGCGUGAUGCAGCGGCACGGCGGGAGGAAUGGAGGCCUGCGGGUUGUGAACCUCUUUGGGCAGUGAAGCGGGCCUGCCUGGUAUGUGGGUGGGUUGACGGUAACUGGAAAAGAAGCGCCGGCUAACUACGUG